rnacentral:rRNA from 1 species
AGUGAACGCUGGCGGUAGGCCUAACACAUGCAAGUCGAACGGCAGCACAGUAAAAGCUUGCUCUUACGGGUGGCGAGUGGCGGACGGGUGAGGAAUACAUCGGAAUCUACUUUUUCGUGGGGGAGAACGUAGGGAAACUUACGCUAAUACCGCAUACGACCUACGGGUGAAAGAAGGGGAUCUUCGGACAUUGCGCGAUUGAAUGAGCCGGUGUCGGAUUAGCUAGUUGGUAAGGUAACGGCACACCAAGGCUGCGAGCUGUAGCUGCUCUGAGCAGAGGGUACCCCACACUGGUACUGAGACACGGACCAGACUGCUACGGGAGGCAGCAGUAAGGAGUAUUGGUCAAUGGAGGGAAGUCUGACCCAGCCAUGCCGCGGGCAGGAAGACGGCCCUAGGGGUUGUAAACUGCUUUUAUACGAGAACAAACGUCGGUACGGGUACCGGUCUGAGUGUACCGAAAGAAUAAGGAUCGGCUAACUCCGUG